rnacentral:rRNA from 2 species
GCAGAGUCGAACGAGCUUCCGUUGAUGACGUGCUUGCACUGAUUCAACAAUGAACGCGAGUGGCGAACUGGGUGAGUAACACGUGGGGAAUCUGCCCAGAAGCAGGGGAUAACACUUGGAAACAGCGCUGCUAAUACCGUAUAACAACAAAAUCCGCAUGGAUUUUGUUUGAAAGGUGGCUCGGCUAUCACUUCUGGAUGAUCCCGCGGCGUAUUAGUUAGUUGGUGAGGUAAAGGCCCACCAAGACGAUGAUACGUAGCCGACCUGAGAGGGUAAUCGGCCACAUUGGGACUGAGACACGGCCCAAACUCCUACGGGAGGCAGCAGUAGGGAAUCUUCCACAAUGGACGAAAGUCUGAUGGAGCAAUGCCGCGUGAGUGAAGAAGGGUUUCGGCUCGUAAAACUCUGUUGUUAAAGAAGAACACCUUUGAGAGUAACUGUUCAAGGGUUGACGGUAUUUAACCAGAAAGCCACGGCUAACUACGUGCCAGCAGCCGCGGUAAUACGUAGGUGGCAAGCGUUGUCCGGAUUUAUUGGGCGUAAAGCGAGCGCAGGCGGUUUUUUAAGUCUGAUGUGAAAGCCUUCGGCUUAACCGGGAGAAGUGCAUCGGGAAACUGGGAGACUGUGAAGUGCAGAAGAGGACAAGUGGAACUCCAUGUGUAGCGGGUGGGA